rnacentral:rRNA from 7 species
GGUUGACCUCGGAUCAGGUAGGGAUACCCGCUG